GUGCUUGCUCCAGCAGCACAUGCAUCAAAACUGGAACAACGCAGAGAUUAGCACGGCCCCUGCGUGAGGGCGACACGUAAAUUCACGAGAUGUUCCCUAAUUCU